AAGUCGUAACAAGGUUUCCGUAGGUGAACCUGCGGAAGGAUCAUUACCGAGUAAGGGCUCCCCCUGUCGGGGGCCCGACCUCUCCACCGUGCUGAAUCGGACCCUGUUGCUUCAGCGGGCUGGAGGGUGAUGGUAGCCCCAUCCCCUUCCACCGCGAUGCCCGCUGGAGACCCUUUCAAUGCUGCAACAAUGCCGUCGUCUGAGUGGGAAUGAAAAAUCUAGUCGCAAAACUUUCAACAAUGGAUCUCUUGGUUCCG
rnacentral:misc_RNA from 1 species